UGGGGAAUAUUGCACAAUGGAGGGAACUCUGAUGCAGCGACGCCGCGUGAGUGAUGAAGGAAUUCGUUUCGUAAAACUCUGUUCUAUGGGAAGAAAAGGACUGUACCAUAGGAGAAAGCUCCGGCUCAAUACGUGCCAGCAGCCGCGGUAAUACGUAUGGAGCGAGCGUUGUCCGGAAUUAUUGGGCGUAAAGGGUGCGCAGGCGGCUUUACAAGUUGGAUGUGAAAUAUUGUGGCUCAACCACAAACGUGCAUCCAAAACUGCAAAGCUUGAGUUAAGGAGAGGUAAGUGGAAUUCCUGGUGUAGCGGUGGAAUGCGUAGAUAUCAGGAGGAAUACCGGUGGCGAAGGCGACUUACUGGACUUAAACUGACGCUCAGGGACGAAAGCGUGGGGAGCAAACAGG
rnacentral:rRNA from 1 species